rnacentral:rRNA from 1 species
GUUGUAUGGUUAAGUGACUAAGCGUACACGGUGGAUGCCUGGGCAGUCAGAGGCGAUGAAGGACGUACUAACUUGCGAUAAGCGCAGAUAAGGCAGUAAGAGCCGUUUGAGUCUGCGAUUUCCGAAUGGGGAAACCCAACUGCAUAAGCAGUUACUGUUAACUGAAUACAUAGGUUAACAGAGCAAACCGGGGGAACUGAAACAUCUAAGUACCCCGAGGAGAAGAAAUCAACCGAGAUUCCGGUAGUAGCGGCGAGCGAACCUGGAUUAGCCCUUAAGCACUCGGUGAAGUAGGUGAACAAGCUGGAAAGCUUGGCGAUACAGGGUGAUAGCCCCGUAACCGACGCUUCAUCGAGCGUGAAAUCGAGUAGGGCGGGACACGUGAUAUCCUGUCUGAAUAUGGGGGGACCAUCCUCCAAGGCUAAAUACUCCUGACUGACCGAUAGUGAACCAGUACCGUGAGGGAAAGGCGAAAAGAACCCUGUGAGGGGAGUGAAAUAGAACCUGAAACCGUGUACGUACAAGCAGUAGGAGCACCUUCGUGGUGUGACUGCGUACCUUUUGUAUAAUGGGUCAGCGACUUAUAUUCAGUGGCAAGGUUAACCGUAUAGGGGAGCCGUAGCGAAAGCGAGUCUUAACUGGGCGCUCAGUCUCUGGAUAUAGACCCGAAACCGGGUGAUCUAGCCAUGGGCAGGUUGAAGGUUGAGUAACAUCAACUGGAGGACCGAACCGACUAAUGUUGAAAAAUUAGCGGAUGACUUGUGGCUAGGGGUGAAAGGCCAAUCAAACUCGGAGAUAGCUGGUUCUCCCCGAAAGCUAUUUAGGUAGCGCCUCGGACGAAUACUACUGGGGGUAGAGCACUGUUAAGGCUAGGGGGUCAUCCCGACUUACCAACCCUUUGCAAACUCCGAAUACCAGUAAGUACUAUCCGGGAGACACACGGCGGGUGCUAACGUCCGUCGUGGAGAGGGAAACAACCCAGACCGCCAGCUAAGGUCCCAAAGUAUUGCUAAGUGGGAAACGAUGUGGGAAGGCUCAGACAGCUAGGAUGUUGGCUUAGAAGCAGCCAUCAUUUAAAGAAAGCGUAAUAGCUCACUAGUCGAGUCGGCCUGCGCGGAAGAUGUAACGGGGCUAAGCAAUACACCGAAGCUGCGGCAAUGUCUUUUAGACAUUGGGUAGGGGAGCGUUCUGUAAGCCGUUGAAGGUGAAUCGUAAGGUUUGCUGGAGGUAUCAGAAGUGCGAAUGCUGACAUGAGUAACGACAAAGGGGGUGAAAAACCUCCUCGCCGGAAGACCAAGGGUUCCUGUCCAACGUUAAUCGGGGCAGGGUGAGUCGACCCCUAAGGUGAGGCCGAAAGGCGUAAUCGAUGGGAAACGGGUUAAUAUUCCCGUACUUCUGACUAUUGCGAUGGGGGGACGGAGAAGGCUAGGUGGGCCAGGCGACGGUUGUCCUGGUUCAAGUGCGUAGGCUUGAGAGUUAGGUAAAUCCGGCUCUCUCUAAGGCUGAGACACGACGUCGAGCUACUACGGUAGUGAAGUCAUUGAUGCCAUGCUUCCAGGAAAAGCCUCUAAGCUUCAGAUAGUCAGGAAUCGUACCCCAAACCGACACAGGUGGUCGGGUAGAGAAUACCAAGGCGCUUGAGAGAACUCGGGUGAAGGAACUAGGCAAAAUGGUACCGUAACUUCGGGAGAAGGUACGCUCUUGAUGGUGAAGUCCCUCGCGGAUGGAGCUGACGAGAGUCGCAGAUACCAGGUGGCUGCAACUGUUUAUUAAAAACACAGCACUGUGCAAAAUCGCAAGAUGACGUAUACGGUGUGACGCCUGCCCGGUGCCGGAAGGUUAAUUGAUGGGGUUAGCGCAAGCGAAGCUCUUGAUCGAAGCCCCGGUAAACGGCGGCCGUAACUAUAACGGUCCUAAGGUAGCGAAAUUCCUUGUCGGGUAAGUUCCGACCUGCACGAAUGGCGUAAUGAUGGCCACGCUGUCUCCACCCGAGACUCAGUGAAAUUGAAAUCGCUGUGAAGAUGCAGUGUACCCGCGGCUAGACGGAAAGACCCCGUGAACCUUUACUACAGCUUGGCACUGAACAUUGAACCUACAUGUGUAGGAUAGGUGGGAGGCUAUGAAGACGUGACGCCAGUUGCGUUGGAGCCGUCCUUGAAAUACCACCCUUGUAUGUUUGAUGUUCUAACUUAGACCCAUUAUCUGGGUUGAGGACAGUGCCUGGUGGGUAGUUUGACUGGGGCGGUCUCCUCCCAAAGAGUAACGGAGGAGCACGAAGGUGGGCUAAUCACGGUUGGACAUCGUGAGGUUAGUGCAAUGGCAUAAGCCCGCUUAACUGCGAGAAUGACGGUUCGAGCAGGUGCGAAAGCAGGUCAUAGUGAUCCGGUGGUUCUGUAUGGAAGGGCCAUCGCUCAACGGAUAAAAGGUACUCCGGGGAUAACAGGCUGAUACCGCCCAAGAGUUCAUAUCGACGGCGGUGUUUGGCACCUCGAUGUCGGCUCAUCACAUCCUGGGGCUGAAGUCGGUCCCAAGGGUAUGGCUGUUCGCCAUUUAAAGUGGUACGCGAGCUGGGUUUAGAACGUCGUGAGACAGUUCGGUCCCUAUCUGCCGUGGGCGUUGGAAGAUUGAAGGGGGCUGCUCCUAGUACGAGAGGACCGGAGUGGACGAACCUCUGGUGUUCGGGUUGUGUCGCCAGACGCAUUGCCCGGUAGCUAAGUUCGGAAUUGAUAAGCGCUGAAAGCAUCUAAGCGCGAAGCGAGCCCUGAGAUGAGUCUUCCCUGACAGUUUAACUGUCCUAAAGGGUUGUUCGAGACUAGAACGUUGAUAGGCAGGGUGUGUAAGCGUUGUGAGGCGUUGAGCUAACCUGUACUAAUUGCCCGUGAGGCUUAACCAUACAACACCCAAGGGGUUUUGUA